rnacentral:rRNA from 1 species
UACGUAGGGAGCAAGCGUUGUCCGGAAUCAUUGGGCGUAAAGCGCGCGUAGGUGGCCUCAUAAGUCCGCUGUGAAAAGUCAAAGGCUCAACCUUUGAAAGCCGGUGGAUACUGUGAGGCUAGAGUACGGAAGAGGCGAGUGGAAUUCCUGGUGUAGCGGUGGAAUGCGCAGAUAUCAGGAGGAACACCAAUAGCGAAGGCAGCUCGCUGGGACGGUACUGACGCUGAGGCGCGAAAAGCGUGGGGGAGCGAACAGG